rnacentral:lncRNA from 1 species
GAGUGUUACAAUAUCUAUGAAUCCUCUGAUAUUUCUUUCCAACAAUAAAUAAUCCGAAGAUCUUUAAGCUUGAUUUUGAAUUUGGAUUUGAAUAUGAUUUGCUCAUCAUGAUCGCCUUGAUGGUCGCCAUGAAGAGUAAUUUUGUCACGAACAAGUAGCCUUGAUCUCAACGCCUUGUAUUUGAUUUAAUUUUGUUCUUGAUAUUGAAUACUUGAAACUUGCAUUGAAGUGCUUGAAUACUUGCCGUUUCUUGGAAAAUUAUGGCCUUUAAUUCACGAGCUCCCUUGUAUCCUGUUAUUAGUCCUUCG